rnacentral:rRNA from 3 species
GGUUAAGCGACUAAGCGUACACGGUGGAUGCCCUGGCAGUCAGAGGCGAUGAAGGGCGUGCUAAUCUGCGAUAAGCGCCGGUAAGGUGAUAUGAACCGUUAUAACCGGCGAUACCCGAAUGGGGAAACCCAGUGUGACUCGUCACACUAUCAUUAACUGAAUCCAUAGGUUAAUGAGGCGAACCGGGGGAACUGAAACAUCUAAGUACCCCGAGGAAAAGAAAUC